rnacentral:rRNA from 1 species
AUUGAACGCUGGCGGCAGGCCUAACACAUGCAAGUCGAACGAGUGGCGGACGGGUGAGUAAUGUCUGGGAACCUGCCUGCUGGAGGGGGAUAACUACUGGAACCGGUAGCAAAUACCGCAUACCAUCAGAUGUGCCCAGAUGGGAUUAGCUAGUUGGUGGGGUAACGGCGCACCAAGGCGACGAUGCCUAGCUGGUCUGGGAGGAUGACCAGCCACACUGGAACUGAGCCACGGUCCAGACGCCUAAGGGAGGCAGCAGUGGGGAAUAUUGCACAAUGGGCGCAAGCCUGAUGAAGCCAGGCCGCGGGUAUGAAGAGGGCCUUCGGGUGUUAAAGUAUGUUCAGCGGGGAGGCGGUACCCGCAGAAGAAGCACCGGCUAACUACGUGCCAGCCGCCGCGGUAAUUC